AGAGUUUGAUCCUGGCUCAGAAUGAACGCUGGCGGCAGGCCUAACACAUGCAAGUCGGACGGAAACGACAGGAACAAUCCCUUCGGGGUGCGCUCCUGGGCGUCGAGUGGCGGACGGGUGAGUAAUGCGUGGGAAUCUGCCCUUUAGUCGGGGGCAACCUGUGGAAACGCAGGCUAAUAUCGGAUGUGCUCUACGGAGUAAAGGUGCCCUCUACUUGUAAGGUAUCGCUAAAGGAUGAGCCCACGUUAGAUUAGCUAGUUGGUGGGGUAAAGGCCUACCAAGGCGACGAUCUAUAGCUGGUUUGAGAGGAUGAUCAGCCACACUGGGACUGAGACACGGCCCAGACACCUACGGGUGGCAGC
rnacentral:rRNA from 1 species